CUGGCGCUUCCCAACACGUUCCUACCUGGGGAUGAAGCUGUUCCUGGUUCCUGACCCAGCCCGCCGAGGGAAAAACAGGGAAGCUGUUGUAGAAUGGAGGGUGUUGGUCUUUUGUCCCAAGGAACAAGCGCCAGGACGGGAGGAAACGGCCUCAAGUUGUGCCAGGGGAUGCUGAGGUUGAAAAUUUGGGAUAACGAUUCCCCUCACCACCACGUGCAGCGCAAGGUCUGAGUGUCACCAGCAGCAUGUUGGAGCUGGGGGACCGACACCGCCGCUCACGCCCGGAUCUUCGCCCACAGGAAUUUGACGCUGCAGCUCCAGCAAGAGCCUUUUGAAGCCAGUGAAUCUUAUGUUUCUUUCCAAGGGAAUGAUUUGCUAAUGCUCGAUGGUUAAAAUACACCGUUCUAAAGGGGAACCUGGUGAUCUGCUACGCUGUGGUUUAAUUUUGCAAAGUCACUGUUCCUUGGGAUAUUAACUCCUCAGAAAUCCCACCCCAUGGUUUGCUGUUUCUUGCCUGUAAGGAUGAGCAAAGACUUUAAACAGAGGCAACCACCUUUUCUUUUUCCAAGUGGAAAACGCUGCGGAAUUGUCUUUAAUCAUUAAACAACACACGCCACAGCAUCCAGAGAAAACCAGAGAAGACUGUACACCAGGUUUACUCUCUUUAACCGCCUUAAUUGCUCUGACUGCAUCUCUAAUUACUCCGUGGUUUACCCUGCUUACUGUUCUUUUAAGGAUUUGAAGGGAUGGUUGACUACUGUGAAAUGGGAUUGCAAUUGUAACACAAAUAACAGCAAGAUUUUGACCUUGCCUCUCUGACGGAUUCAUAUACGAAACUGCAGCUCCGCUCCCCGCGUUUCUCCCCAUGAAAAGCAGGAAGGGAUCAAAACCACAUGAAAUUAUUCUGCUCCAAGUCCAAACCAUGUCAGGAUGAGAUACCUGCUCUCCGGUUCCCGAGGGACACGGUUGUUCCCUUCGGUAAGGGAAGCGUUUCACCUCCGUUUAACAAAUUAACCCCGUUUAACAAAUUAACGGCGCUGGGGACGACCCUGUGUGGGCAAGGGAGGGUUUGAACUGAGCAGAGUUGGCUUUGGUUACCUGAGGAGAGAAACCACGGCCACGUAGUUCCCAACCGCUUCCAGUUCGGGGAAAUAAAAAGGAAAUAAGCUGUAAACUGAUAAUUAGAAAGGAAUAAUUUUCUGCCGUCGUAGCAGGGGAAGGAUGGGACACCAGCGAGAUCCAGGGAGCUGCGCCAGCCAAGAGCCAUCGCCACCAACACAACGUCCUGCUACCAGAUGACAACAACAACCCCAGUUCCUUGGGGCUUCUGUUUGUUUUUAAACUCCCGUAAUGAUCCAGAGCCCUCGGGGAGGUUUAUCAAUCAGGAUCUCAGGUCUAGAAGCCGUCAUUGUGUUCAUACCAUCAACACUUCAUGGCAAAUCCCGGAGGAACAACUACAUCGCUUGCCGCAGGCGAUAGAAAAUACAAGUUUCCCUGCAGAAGGUGACAAAUGUUUCCAUGUAGCACAUGUCCCCUUGGUUCAUCUGAGCAUCUUCCGAUUCCAAAAGCCAAAUGAUCUUCCUUUCCUCUGACCAAAUAAACACCCCGUGGAAGUCACCUGCGCUCACCUCAUGUAACAGUAAAACGAGCUCGUGAACUUCUUGGCAUCAUCCCACCCCCCCGUGUCCAAAAGCCAUCAAGUACCGGCAGAAUGUUAACAAAUAUAUAUAGAAAAAGCUU